CCGACAAGGCACCCUCCCAGAUGUGCACGUCUCAUCAUUGGCUGGAAGGACGCUGCGGUUUGGACUCACGAGCCUCCCCACAGGGUCCUUGCCUGUGUUCAGACAGGUGGCGGAGGGGCUUGUCACCAAACUCCAGCUUAAUGAAUGCUUUCUAAGGAAAGUAAGGAUGCCACACAAAGAGCCCUCGAAAUUGGGUAUUGGACUUGAGGGAAUGCUAAUCUCCAUGACAGAUGUAUGGUAGGAGGCAAAGACAUUAACGUGUUCGCGUAGGAGAGAGGCAUGAAGGAGAAAGAGGAAACCCACUCCACUUCUAUGCAUCAAUCAACCUUGCUCAUUAUUCAUAGAAUCAAUGGGCAACCAAGGAUCACCAGACAUUGGAUAAAAACUAACAGUAUAG